rnacentral:tRNA from 3 species
GCUACUGUGGCUCAGUUGGUAGAGCAGUUCACUCGUAAUGAACAGGCCGCCGGUUCAAGUCCGGCCAGUAGCUCCA